rnacentral:tRNA from 1 species
AGCAAGGUCAGCUAAUCAAGCUAUCGGGCCCAUACCCCGAAAAUGACGGUUCAACCCCCUCCCCUGCUA